AUGAACGCUGGCGGCGUGCCUAAUACCUGCAAGUCGAGCGAACAGACGAGGAGCUUGCUCCUCUGACGUUAGCGGCGGACGGGUGAGUAACACGUGGAUAACCUACCUAUAAGACUGGGAUAACUUCGGGAAACCGGAGCUAAUACCGGAUAAUAUAUUGAACCGCAUGGUUCAAUAGUGAAAGACGGUUUUGCUGUCACUUAUAGAUGGAUCCGCGCCGCAUUAGCUAGUUGGUAAGGUAACGGCUUACCAAGGCAACGAUGCGUAGCCGACCUGAGAGGGUGAUCGGCCACACUGGAACUGAGACACGGUCCAGACUCCUACGGGAGGCAGCAGUAGGGAAUCUUCCGCAAUGGGCGAAAGCUUGUCGGAGCAACGCCGCGUGAGUGAUGAAGGUCUUCGGAUCGUAAAACUCUGUUAUUAGGGAAGAACAAAUGUGUAAGUAACUAUGCACGUCUUGACGGUACCUAAUCAGAAAGCCACGGCUAACUACGUG
rnacentral:rRNA from 1 species